CUUGGCUUGUUGCUGGGACCAGUAAGCAUGUGCAGUCAGGACCCUGUCCAAGAGCUCCUGGGGGACAGGCUCUCCCCUCCUUUGCUGAGGGGAUAUUCUUGCCGUGUGCACGAGUGUUUUCCAUUUAUCCUUCAGAUCCACAUAAGUUCGGUGCUUUGCAUUAUCAAAAGCUCGCAGUUUGACAUCACGCCACCUUCCAGUUCCAAGUUUCUCAACUGCUUGCACCAAGGCUUCAACUUCAGUAACAGAGAAAGGUCGACGAAUUCGGCGCUGCACAAUCUCAGAUCGCUUGGAUUUCCGGUGUGCCGGAACCACAGCUAGUGCCUCUAUAUUCAUUUCUGGCACAGGAACCAAAGCUUUUGAAUCAGUGCUUUUGUCAAUAUCUGUAGGAGAGGGUGCUGAAUCAUGGUCACUUUCAAUUAAAUUCCCUAAAUUAGUCCCAUGAGGCUCAGGAGAAGCCGCGUAUGUGGUUUGAUGUACCACACUUGGAGCAGGUGG
rnacentral:misc_RNA from 1 species